GUGAGGAUAAAGAGCGAGCAUUGUUUACAUUUUUCCAGCACUAUUUAAACUUAUUGUACUUAAAAAAAAGAUUAAAUCAUUAGGCUGUUGGGGUGUGGAUGGGGAGGUGUGAGAAAACUCAGCUCCAAAAACACCGCCCCCCCCCCACCCCCCGUCUUUCUUACUUAUAUAAAACUUUGUUCUCAAGGCUUCUUCGGGGCCAAAGAACAAGCACACAAAAUCAGGUCGUAACCAUCCUGCUCUCUGCCCCUCGCUCAGCUGGACCCUGGGUGGAGCCCCAGGACAAAGGUCUGGGGAGCACCCACAACCAGAGCCAGCACACCCAGGAGGGGGGCCCACGUGCCCCAGCUCGGGCUCCCAAGUGGAGACAAGCAAUUGGAGGGAGUGGCCAGACUCCUCCCACCCCAACAUAGUGUCCGUGCUCGGAGAGGGGAGCCCCCAGUUCCCUCCUCUUUGAAAUGGGGCCGCUGGGAGAACCCGCCGGGACACCCGUGGGCCCGGUGGGAGGGAGGACCGGGUUGGGCCAGGCGCUCCGGCAGUGCGGGCUGAACCCAGUCUGUGAAGAUGGGCCUGGGGUGUGGGGAAGCUUUUGCAGGUCAAAAAGCAUGUGUUUGGAGAAACCCUUGCUCUGUUCUUGGCUUGGGAGCCUCAUGCCUUCUGCCUUCUGUGAAUCACUUCUUCUUACAGCAUUGCUGUUUUCCCCACCUCGGGUUGAAGUCAUGUGAACCCCCCGUGCCAGCUUCUGCCUCCUCUUGGGCUGGCCGCCAACAGCCGCCUGCCCGUCCGUGCUGUUUUGAGGCAGUGUAAGGGACAGACACAGAGGCCGAGGGUCCCCCUCCGGGGACAAGGCCCUGCCCUGGACUUGCCAGGUUUCAGGCAUCUGGCGUGAGGCGGUGGAAAGAGCUCUUGACUGGUGUCGGGAGCCCCGGAUGCUUCACGGACCUGCCGCGAAACUGCCUGUGCCAACCCCGGAUUCACCUACCGCCCUGAGAAAUGGGACAUCUGGCCUGAAUGUCACAAAGGGCCUUCUCGGCUUUGGGGUCCUAAGGGAAGGGCUGGAGCUGAGCUCUCUCCUGCCAGGCCCUCCCUCGUGGGCUCCCCCACAUCCGGCCCUGCUCCCCGACAGGGUUCGAGGCACCGGCAGCUACUGGUUAACGCAGACCAGAUGCAACCCUUUCCCGGGACAUGCUCGGCGGCCUUCCUCCGCGGAGGCCUUGGGGAUAUUUGAAACGCCAUGGAGUUUGGCUUUGGAGCCCAGAGUGGAAACCACAGCUCCAUUACGCGAGCACAUCUGAUCUCCCUGGGAGGAGAGAGGCGACUGGCCUCAGAGAAAGAGAGACAAGUUGGAGGCCGCUGGCUCUCUGGGGAACAGUUUUGCUUCCCUGCUUAUAGGAUGGGGUCUGGGAGCCCCAGGGAGGGCAAGUCCGCCAUGCUGAUCUUGGAGAUGCUGGGUUCCCUAAUCCCUGUGGAUGGCGGCAAAGGCCAGGGGCCUCUAGAGACGAACUUGAGUCCCCUAUGAGGACUGGACAUCCACCCAGAAACCAUUCUGCCUCGUGCCACCCCCGCCGUGAGAGCGCAUAUAUUGAAAGCUUCAUGUUUGCCAGACCCCUCGUCAAAGAAGAAAAAUUCCAUGGAGAGAGAAUGGCCGCCUCUCCCUCCUCCUCCCUGGGACGGACCAAGCAACUGGAUUUGCACAAACAAGUGGGAAAUGAUUCCAAAGUCACUGCCUGUUAAGACACCCCAGCUUCGAUCACUGCCUAGUUGGGUCACUUUGGGCCAAUAUCUUACUAUCUCCAGCCCCAGAUUCCCAUUUGCCCUGUGGAUAUAAUAAGCCUCACCUUGGAGAUGGGGGCUAUAGGAUGUGCAUAAAGGAGCCUCACAGAGGCUCAGUGGAGGUGAGUCACUGUUACUCCCAAAUGACCUGGAUUAAUCCUCCUCUCCUGUUUCUAAAUAUUCCAAGACCAUCGUCACUGCCCAUCAGCACUGUGGUUGGCAGAAGUAACAGAGACACCCCCAGGGGUGGCUGCGGUCGGAGCCGAGGUGGCCAGUCAGCUGGGCUUCAUGAGGGUAGCAUCUCCGGGCUGGAGUGCUGGGGCAGGCACUUUGAAACUGCCCACACGCGGCCCCAUCGUGACUCUUAAGGGCAGGACCCGGGGCUGAGACCAUCUCUGUCAGCCCUUCCAGCCUGAGGCUCUUUCUCCCCAGGAGUGAAGGUUCAGGCAGGGCAGUGGAUCCUCGAGCUUCUGCUCAGUGCCCACUCACCUGGGUGCUCUGGGCUGCUUCCUUGGCCAUUUCUGCGGGGCGCGGGACUGAAUUGCUUGGUCACUCAGCAAGUGAAACGGGGACAGCAGCCAGCCAUGUUAGCUCCCUGGUGUGUGUGGGGGGGGACGAUGUUAUGAGGGUAGGGAGAGUGGUCAGUGGUUUAGUCAUAUGAUCCUUCCUACUGUCGUGGGGAGAGACCUCAGGCUCAGGGCAUCAAUCAGGGGUGGGGGUCUAAGAGUGUGGGUGCAGCAGUUUCCCUGUAAACUUAAGAUUUGUGGAAGGAAAGAGAUUGCGCUUGGUAACAGACCUUGAAAUCGGCAUAAUGAAGCCUUUUCUAGUCUUGCCAAACCCUCCAAUGUGUCUCCAUCCAUGCCCCCCACCCUCCCUCUCAUUCAUUCACGCAUUCGUGCAGCCACUCACUCCAUGAAUACUCCACGAGCACCCUCUUUGUUUCUGGCGCUGGGGAUACCACUCUGAGUAUAAUGCCUGCCCUCAUGGAGCUUUUGGUCUAGGUGGGGAGAAAGACCUUAAACAAUGAGUCGUACACAUCGGUACAAAAUUCACACUUAACAGGUGCCGGGAAGGAAAAGAGCGGGGUGUCGGGAGAGCACCUAACAAGGGCCCCCUCCUCCCAAAGGUCAGUCCUUGCUGUGUGUCUGGCAGUGACCUAAGUCCUUGAUGUGGACUCGCUGGAUCCUUGCCACGUCCCCGUGUGUCACUGUCAUCACCAUCCUACGGGUGAGGAAACCGGAACCGGACGGACCCAAGAUCUCAGUCGUUGAUCCUAAUUCUGUGCCGUGGGAGGGCAGCCCUCCCUCUUCCCUUUUUCACAACUGAAGAAACCAAGACUUUAGCUGAAGUCAAAUGUUUUUCUCAAGGUCACAGAGCUGGAAUGGCUGAGUUCCCUGGCUCAUCUCCUCCAACCAACUUGGGACAGAAUUUUUCCCCCAGUGGAGAUAAAUCAGCCACUUACAACUGGAAGCUCAAUUGUAUUUAUGGCCUCACAAUUUUUCACCCCUCCCUGUAUUCACAUGCUUUGCUCAGUAAAUCUGCAGUGCUCUCUUACCCGGGGUAGAAUGUUCUGCAGGCCCUGGCUCUGGGCUCAGUCCUGUGAUUUGCUGUGGCUGAUGGGAUAUUAGCAGACUUGUUGCAAGCCGAGGCUCCACAAAGCACUUGCGCAUUUCCCCUCUUGCGUUUCUUCUCUGCCACUGUCACGAGAACGUGCCGACUGGCUUGCUGAAUGAGUAGGCCUGUGGCCCUGAACCAAGGUACCCCUGGCAUCCCAGCCCAGGCUAUUGUAGGUCAGACCUCCACGUGAGAGGCCCCAGCCAAGAUCGGCUGGACCGCACACACUCCUGAGCUAAACGAAUGUUUGCCCCUGGGGUCUGGCUCAUUUGUUACGCAGCAUGAUGGCAAUUGUUGACGGAUACUGAUCUGUAUGAAGCCAAUGUGACUGUAGAUUGCAGAUGAUGAGCAAAGCUGGAGGUCGCUACACAGCAGGGGAGGAAGGAAGAAUUCUGAGCUGAGAGGUCAGGGAACGAGCCAUCGAACAGUGACACGGAGCUGAAUCUUGAAGGAGGAAAAAACAGGUGUCCCAGCAGAUGACACAGACACAGGCAUGGAGGCGUGCACUUGCACUUGUCCAAGGAACGGCAAGUCACCCAGUAGGGCUGCUACAUGGAGGCAAUGUGGGAGUGAGACUGGACUACCUGAAAGGCAGCUGCCACCGAUUUCUCCUUGCCUGAGCGUCUAUGGUGCUCCUCCCAGAAAGAGGAGGGCCUGUGUCCCCUCCCCUUGAAUCUCGACUGGCCUUGUGACUUUCUUUGAUGAACAGAAAGGGCAGAAGUGACUCUGUGCCCGUUCCAGGCCUAGCCUUAAAUGGCCUGGGGCCCUCUGUGUUCCCUCUCUCUUUUGGAAGUCGGCCGCCGUGGAGAGAAACUCGGGCCGACAAGACAGGGAUGUGGAACCAUGCAUGCGGAAGGUAAGGUCACAUGGAGGAGAGCUGAGAAACCCCAGCACAGGUGUGUGGAGGAGGCUUCUUGGACAUUCUGGGCCAGCUGAGCCCCUGGCUGGACACAGCCGCGCCGAUCCCACGUGGAGCCCGGGAUCUGCCCAGCUGACCUGCAGAGCUCUGAGCGGGGAGUAACCCAGUGUGAUUUCAAGCACUGAGUGUGGGGUGUUUUGUUACCCAGCAGAGAUCACUGAGACAGGUGGCCUGGCAGAUGCUAGUUUCUGGGAGUCUCUGGGACGUCUAACCUCCGCGAGAGCCCUGAGCUCUGUUCGCAGACAACUGGAGCGGGCUUUUCUCCUGUUUCCUUCCUGCUAGGGAGGGUGAGGGGAGUUGUGCGGUUUCCCCACAUCCCAUUUUGAAGGCGCUCCUAUGACAAGCUAAUGGAACUCCUAGAUAAGAAUGACAAGCUAUGAGCUUGGACUCCGGGGUCAGAUUCCCGGGAUUUAAGUCCCAGCUCUGCCAAUUUCUAGCUGUGCGACUGACCUUGGGCAAUCUACAUAACCGCUCUGUGCCUCAGUUUCUUUAUCUGUAAAAUGAGGUAUUAGAUUCCUAUGUGGAUUAAAUAAGGUAAUAUAUCCAAGCUCUUAAAAUAGUGCCUGACUCAUCAUAAGCCCUCGAUAGAUAUCAUCCACUGUUUUAUUGCUACUAUUGAGGCUGCUGCUACUAGUAAUAGGAGGAGGAGGUUCCAGGGCUUCUGAGCUGGAUAUUUCAGUGUUCUUGACCUGAAGGAGCCCAAAGUCUCACCGACUCCAAGUAGAGCUGACCCCUGAACAGGUAAGUUACAAUACAAAGGGGUGGAAAUAAAAACAAGAGAAUGAUCGAGUCUGGGAGUGGUUUAUUGUACCUGGGAAUUAAGAAGACUUCCUAAGGGAGGUGACUAUUGAGCUGGGUUUAGACGACCGAACCAGUUUGCUGGCUUUAUCAGUUCAGUUUAUGUUUGGCUCUGAGUCAAAGCGACCACCACUGCCAAACAAAAACGGAAACACAAAAAUAACAGUAGCUUCAACAAGACAGAAGUUUCUGUCUGACUCCAGUAGAAAUCUGGUGGCGGAAGGCCCAGGGCCCCUAGGGUGUCCAUUGCUCUCCUCCUGGUGCAAGGUGGCUGCAAGAGCUCCGGCAGUCGGGCUCUUUAAGAACAUUCCUGGAUUUUGUACACCGCAUUUACAAGCUGUUGGCAAGGCUUCAUCCCACGGCCAACCUAAUUGCAAGGGAGACUGAGAACAUAUUCUUUAUCCUGGGUGGCCUGUGGCCAGCUGGCUAAGAACUGGGUACCCCGUUACUGAGGAGGACUUGGGGAGCAGACACUGGAGGUCUAGGUUCCCACUAGAAAGAAUGGCACAUGCAAAGGCCUGUGUACUUGGAGCACACGGCCGGUUCUGCCUUCACAGGGCCUUCAAGGAUCCUCACUCCUUCUCUGCUGAGACGCUCACUGGUUCAUCACAGGCCGGCCUGUGGACUUGCACUUAGAUCAGCAUCCUGCCAGCCAGGCACACCCACUCCCCGCUCUCCUGUUGCUCUGGAAGAUCCCUCCCACCCAGUGCAUCAUGGGAGACACCGAGAUGCCCUUAAGGAGCUUGCGUUCACUGAGGAGACAGAGCUGCUGAGUGGAGGGGCCGCAGAGAGAAGGGCCAGAGCCCCCAUCAGACCUCUGACCUAGGCCUGGACAGCCAGACUAAGUGGCUGAGAGGGCCCCCUGGGCCAGGGGAAUGCUGAAAAGAAAGGCCAGGAGGCAGCUCUUAGGGGUCCUAGGUGACCCUUGAGGAGAGCUGUCCUGCUAGUUCUGGAGGUCUGAGGCCUCAAAGGCCACCUGCUUGAGGGAUGAGAGUCCUUGUCCCUACAGAUGACAUCACAUGUAUGCUGGUCGUGGCAGGUUGGGACCAGGGAGCCAGUGCUGUUGGAGAAGAAAGGGAGCCACAGAGGAUGGCGUCUUGGAGCAAGCCCUAGGAAGUACAGCCCCCACUCGGGGCCAGGAGGCAGGAGAGCGGGAGAUUCACGCGGCCAAGGUGUCGGCAUGGAACUCCAGUUCUGCCUCGGACACGCUGGGUGACGUGAAGCCUCAAUUUUCCCAUCUGUAAAGUGGGGGUCCACUUAAGGGCAUAAUGAGGGCUCCAGAUGAUGGGUGGAAAAGGCCUUGGCAAGAGCUCACGUGCCCUGCAGACACACGUGUUAGUGCACAGACCUCUGAAGGAAGGCCUCCCCCAGGGCAGCCUCUCUCCCACACCGUCACAGGCGCGGGGCUUUCAGCAGACAGUACUGCCCGCCUACUGCCUACGAGGCCUAGCCGGGCCUGAACUUCUCAGGGAUCCACCCGCCCCACCCCGCACUUGAGCACCCCUUCCUCACCUCCCAGCCUCUCACAUCCCCUCGGUCAGCGCUCUCGGUGCAGCCAGCAGCCAGCAGCCCGGCCCCGGGGCGGCAGACCGGGAUGCCAUGCACCUGGGAGAAAAGCAGAGGUGCCCUGGAGAGCCUGCGAGCCCAAGCGCCAGUCCUACUCAGCCACACGUCUCCAGCGGGAUUUGCCGCGUUUCUUCGCCCCAGGUGGCGCGCACGUGACCCACGCCGAGCCAAUCGGCGUCUUCUGCAGGGGAUUUGCAAUCAGGACCCAAAGACUUCAGCUGAGGCCACCUGGCUUCACAUCUCGAGGCCACGUCGAGCCGGGAGCUGUUGACAGCUGUGUUUUCCACUACCGACCGGAGGCGUGAGCAGAGCCAGGGGACAGCGGCAAGGUAAGGAAAUGGAAGCUCAGAGAAGUAGCCAUUUGUCCGAGGCCUGCUUUCAUCCACCUCUUCCGAAGGCUCAGCGCCAUGGCUCCUGCUGCGUUUCAUUGGCCCCCUUGUCCACAAGUCACGGGUAAAAGGCCCCAGGCUCCAGCCCUGACACUGUCACUGACUCACUGCCAUGUGACCCCGUUUAAGUCCGGCCCACCUCUGGGCCUCUCAAUAUGACCCAAGAACUAAGCUACUAGAGUCUUCUGGCUGAGCCAUGGAAGCUUGGGGGGGCCGGGGUGGUCCAGGCCUAGGCCGGGCAAGGCAAUAAUUAGCUGAGCGCUCUUCUGGAAUGUUAAGUACCCGGCCCUGGAAUGCAGCUCCCGCUGGCUACAAAUAUCAACCCCUCCCCAUGGGACAGGCCCUGCAGGGAAGAUAAAAAUCAGGGUGUGCAGACACUGGGGACCCUGUCCUAGGAGUCCCUCUGCCGGGAAGCGCAGUCCUCUGACCUCUCCCAGGAUCUUCCUCCGUCCACAGCUCCCUCCCACUUAGGGCUUUGCCCGGAGUGGUGGGGAGCCCAGUGGUCCUGCCUCCUGGAUUUAAUGCCCUUGUGUAAUCCCCUGGUCGGUGUGGGCUAGACUUAGUGACUGCCUCUCGCAACAGAGUACAGCAAAAGUGAUGGGUCGUCACUUCUGAUAUCAGGUUACCAGAAGACCGUGGCUUUCAUUCUGGACACCCUUCUGCUCUCUCUGAAUGAAGCCAGCUGCCAUGUUGUAAGCUGCCCAGGAGAGAGGCCCAAACGGCAAGGACCUGAGUGGGGCCUCUGGCCAGCUGCCAGAGAGGCCAGCGAGGUUAGUGAGGAACCCAGGUCUGCAGUCCAGCAACCCACGAGGCCCCAAAUCCUGCCAACAAGCAUGUGAGUGAGCUUGGCCACAGAUCCAUCCCUGGUCGGGCCCAGACGACUGUGGUGCUGGCCGCCAGCUUGAUUGUGGCCUAUGAGAGACCAUGUGGCAAAGGGCCAGCUGGGCCAUGCCGACUCCUGCCCCAUGGACACUGUUAAGACAAUAAAUGUGUGUGGUUUUAA